UACAGAGGGUGCGAGCGUUAAUCGGAAUUACUGGGCGUAAAGCGUGCGUAGACGGUUUCGUAAGUCGGGUGUGAAAUCCCCGGGCUCAACCUGGGAAUUGCAUUCGAAACUGCGAGGCUAGGGUACGGAAGAGGGAAGCGGAAUUUCUGGUGUAGCGGUGAAAUGCGUAGAUAUCGGGAGGAACACCAGUGGCGAAGGCGGCUCUCUGGACAGGUACUGACGCUGAGACGCGAAAGCGUGGGUAGCAAACAGG
rnacentral:rRNA from 1 species